rnacentral:rRNA from 1 species
AACGAACGCUGGCGGCAGGCCUAACACAUGCAAGUCGAACGCCCCGCAAGGGGAGUGGCAGACGGGUGAGUAACGCGUGGGAACGUACCCUUCGGUUCGGAAUAACCCGGGGAAACUCGGGCUAAUACCGGAUACGUCCGCAAGGAGAAAGAUUUAUCGCCGAAGGAUCGGCCCGCGUCGGAUUAGCUAGUUGGUGGGGUAAUGGCCCACCAAGGCGACGAUCCGUAGCUGGUCUGAGAGGAUGAUCAGCCACACUGGGACUGAGACACGGCCCAGACUCCUACGGGAGGCAGCAGUGGGGAAUAUUGGACAAUGGGCGAAAGCCUGAUCCAGCCACGCCGCGUGAGUGAAGAAGGCCUUAGGGUUGUAAAGCUCUUUCAGCGGGGAAGAUAAUGACGGUACCCGCAGAAGAAGCCCCGGCUAACUUCGUGCCAGCAGCCGCAGC